CGUUACCAUAGGCUACUGUACUGACGUUACCAUAGGUUACUGACCUGACGUUACCAUAGGUUACUGUACUGACGUUACCAUAGGUUACUGUACUGACGUUACCAUAGGUUACUGUACUGAUGUUACCAUAGGUUACUGACCUGGUGUUACCAUAGGUUACUGUACUGACGUUACCAUAGGCUACUGUACUGACGUUACCAUAGGUUACUGACCUGACGUUACCAUAGGUUACUGUACUGACGUUACCAUAGGUUACUGACCUGACGUUACCAUAGGUUACUGUACUGAUGUUACCAUAGGCUACUGUACUGUACUGACGUUACCAUAGGUUACUCUACUGACGUUACCAUAGGUUACUGUACUGACGUUACCAUAGGUUACUGUACUGACGUUACCAUAGGUUACUGACCUGACGUUACCAUAGGUUACUGUACUGACCCGACGUUUCCAUAGGUUACUGUACUGACGUUACCAUAGGCUACUGACCUGACAUUAGAAGCGUGAGAAGAUAGGGGAAGAGGUUUUUUUAUUAGCUAGAGAACAUCGAAUUAACUUUUUCAAAACUAUUGAAGGAUACAAUAAGCCUAGUUAUCACGUUUCACAAUGGAUUUAUUCAUUACACUAAGGUAAGAUGUGUUUUUAAUUCUGGUGCCGCUCAAGCUUGUUAGCUUGCUAGUGUAAGGGACGUCACACUGCUUGCUUAGCAGUACAACUUCCUCCCGAUUCGGCCCAAACUUACCAGUCGGUGCCACACGAACAGCGAGCUAUUCGCUGGCGCAAGUGGGGACAUUUCAGGCUGAGGAGUAAGUUUCACACAUCCCCAUGUGCUACAGUCACUACUCAAAUGUACUCAACAGUGCCCCCAGCUGUAGAUCCAGGUCACUACACCAAUGUAAAUAGUCCAGGUGUCCAUUUCAUUAAUUGUUCAGAGGUCUUAUGGCUUCUGGGUAGAAG
rnacentral:lncRNA from 1 species